UGCCAGCCGCCGCGGUAAGACGAAGGGGGCUAGCGUUGUUCGGAAUUACUGGGCGUAAAGCGAGUGUAGGUGGUUGUCAUAGUCAGGUGUGAAAGCCUUGAGCUCAACUCAAGAAAUGCACUUGAUACUGGGCGACUAGAGGACCGGAGAGGAUAGUGGAAUUCCCAGUGUAGUGGUGAAAUACGUAGAGAUUGGGAAGAACACCAGUGGCGAAGGCGGCUAUCUGGACGGUUUCUGACACUAAGACUCGAAAGCGUGGGGAGCAAACAGGAUUAGAUACCCUGGUAGUCCACGCCGUAAACGAUGGGUGCUAGACGUUGGCGAGCUUGCUCGUCAGUGUCGCAGCUAACGCGUUAAGCACCCCGCCUGGGGAGUACGGCCGCAAGGUUGAAACUUAAAGAAAUUGGCGG
rnacentral:rRNA from 1 species